GACGAACGCUGGCGGCGUGCUUAACACAUGCAAGUCGAGCGGUAAGGCCCUUUCGGGGGUACGACGAGCGGCGAACGGGUGAGUAACACGUGGGUGACCUGCCCUCAGCUCUGGGAUAAGCCUGGGAAACCGGGUCUAAUACUGGAUAUGACUCCAUGACGCAUGUUGUGGGGUGGAAAGCCUUGUGCGGCUGAGGAUGGGCCCGCGGCCUAUCAGCUUGUUGGUGGGGUGANGGCCUACCAAGGCGACGACGGGUAGCCGGCCUGAGAGGGCGACCGGCCACACUGGGACUGAGACACGGCCCAGACUCCUACGGGAGGCAGCAGUGGGGAAUCUUGCGCAAUGGGCGAAAGCCUGACGCAGCGACGCCGCGUGAGGGAUGACGGCCUGGU
rnacentral:rRNA from 1 species